rnacentral:lncRNA from 1 species
CGCGGACGCGUACAAGUCCCUCGCCUCCGGGGUCUCGUGGCCCGAGGCGUGCAACAAAUCCCUCGCGGAGAUGGACCCGGAGAUGGCCGACAUCAUCGAACACGAGAAGGCGCGCCAGUGGAAAGGCCUCGAGCUCAUCCCGUCCGAGAACUUCACCAGCCGCUCCGUCAUGGAAGCCGUGGGCAGCGUCAUGACAAACAAGUACUCCGAGGGGUACCCGGGCGCGAGGUACUACGGCGGGAACGAGUUCAUCGAUCAGGCCGAGACGCUGUGCCAGAAGAGGGCGCUGGAGGCGUUCCGUCUGGACCCCGAGAAGUGGGGAGUGAACGUCCAGUCCCUCUCCGGAUCGCCCUCCAACUUCCAGGUGUACACCGGCUUGCUCAACCCCCACGACAGGAUCAUGGGCCUCGACCUGCCCCACGGCGGCCACCUCUCCCACGGGUUCCAGACGGACACGAAGAAGAUCUCCGCGGUGUCCAUCUUCUUCGAGUCCAUGCCGUACAGGCUCGACGAGUCCACCGGUUUGAUCGACUACGACGCGUGCCAGACGCUCGCCACCGCGUACCGUCCGAAGCUCCUCAUCGCGG